GUUCUUUUUGCUGUGCAGGCAUUAUUCAAUGGCCUUGCAUGGGCGCCAUGGGUACCAUUCAUGUGUGCCACAUUUAAAGUGGUAGUUGUCCUUGUAAGACCUGCUACUUAUGCCAUUAUUUCAAGAGCAUCAAGCUCAAACGACCAGGUUUGGAAAAUACCUAUGAUCCCAUUACCUACAGUUUUGCAUU